UAAACUUUCCACGAAUUCGAUCACGGCGGACCUUAAUUUAUCUGCCCAUCAAUUCAGGCACGCGGAGAAUGCCAAGAGAGGAAUC
rnacentral:pre_miRNA from 13 species